GCCCGUUUGGCUCAGUUGGUAGAGCGCAAGGCUCUUAACCUUGUGGUUGUGGGUUGGUUUCCACUAGGCU
rnacentral:tRNA from 1 species